rnacentral:lncRNA from 10 species
CUGCAGUAGCAUGAAGAGGUCUGAGGAAGCUGUGCGUCCCUCAAGAAAGCAAUUCUUUAUUGCCCAUCAAAGAUGAAUCCAUAGGGGAUCAUUAACAAGGAGAUCAUCCCAGAGAGCAGCUUCUAGAAUCACCAACCAACCUCAUGAAAUAAAGAAAUAAAGAAAACAAACAAGUAAAUAAAAACAAGAUCUUUAUGGAUGUGGCAGAAAGCUUUGCAAGCCAAGAAAGUCUUCUAUCCAGGUGAUGCAAAUAACUGUAAAACUUCAGACUUCUUGAACUACAAAGAUGAACUCUGCCAACCCAAGUUCUAGUACUUCCUCUACUCCCAGCCUGACCCCCACUGUUUCUUGGUUUCCUCACUCCUUCUCUUUCUGUUUGACUCUUGAGAGUAAUAAACUCAGCCAAGUCCUACUACUUGAGCCCAUAUUUAAAUGCAGAACAA